AUUGUUUUCACUCAAACUUUGCUGUAAAUUCUGUUUAAGUGGCACUAGCCCGCAGGUAGCUUUUCCUGUUAGCCUGUUAGCUUCUUCGUGAUUCUAUUAAUGUGUAUUGGGGCCUCCGACCCGUAGGCAGUGAAGUUGCAAUUGUGGUUUUCUGGUCAGAGACAUGGGGAGAUAAAAGACCCACCAAUCAUCCCAUUAACACUUUUAUUACCCUCAGAGGCACUACAAAAAGGAUUUAUUAAGGUAAACAAGUUACUUAGUACUGCUUUAAUAAUAUUUGGUUUUAAUACAUUUUAAAGUGUGGAGUGCUUUAAAGAACUCUAACUCAGAGAUGGGUCUGGGACGUCCCCAGGAGAUAAGGCAAGUCUCCAGAUAGUCUCUAAAAAAAAAAAAAUGAACUCAGAAGUCAGAGACCCUCGAUUGAUGACCCAAACACAAGAUGGGUAUUUGUCAUCAGGAGCAGCGAGUAUUCCAUCCUUCAAAAAUCCAAUAAGAUAACGGUCUUCCCCUUCAAGAUGGAUUUGAGUUACGUUCCUCCUGAGUUCUUCAGUGUCGACCCACCACCUCUGCAUCAGAACGUGCUAAUAGAUCAAUGGCUGUGCAGAACCUGCUCUGACUGGUGAGAACUGGAAAAGCAUCCCCAGCACUUUUGGAAGAAUACCCAGAGGCAACAAACCAGCAGCGUAGUCCAGGACAUCCCAGCACCACUGAGCUACACUAAAAGCGCAGAUCAACAAUUGUUACCCAAACUAGUGAUGAGUACCAGAGACAUUUGCAAUUUGCAACCUGAACCAUUCAAGUGCAGUGUAAAUUUAUUAUGUAUAUGAGCUCCCUGUCAUGUGGAAAGUUAGAGCUUGUCAUUAACACUCGCUAACUAGCCUCUAUGGAUAACGGCCUGUCAAUCAAAGUCCGGCCCCGAUUAGUUUACGAGAUUUUCUAAAAUGUUCCUUAGGAAAACCAGCCUGGUCCCAGUAAUUGUGCCCAACCCAGCAUUAUCACAGGAG
rnacentral:lncRNA from 1 species